CAGCACCCCGCGGUGUCCCCCGCGCACCUGAACGCCGGGAUCUCCUUGGCGAACUUGAUCACCUGCUGGAUCAUGAACGUGCUCAGCGCAUGAACUGCGAGAAGCUGGAGUCGAAGUCCCCACCCCCUCUUUCCCAUUGGCUGCUCGCGGCUGUCAAUCAAACCCCGCCCCUAUAAAGGCGGCGGCGGCAGCGCCGG